ACUCCUACGGGAGGCAGCAGUGGGGAAUCUUGGACAAUGGGGGCGAACCCUCGAUCCAGCCAUGCCGCGUGAGUGAUGAAGGCCUUAGGGUCGUAAAGCUCUUUCGCCUGUGAUGAUAAUGACAGUAGCAGGUAAAGAAACCCCGGCUAACUCCGUGCCAGCAGCCGCGGUAAUACGGAGGGGUUAGCGUUGUUCGGAAUUACUGGGCGUAAAGCGCGCGUAGGCGGAUUAGUCAGUUAGAGGUGAAAUCCCAGGGCUCAACCCUGGAACUGCCUUUAAUACUGCUAGUCUUGAGUUCGAGAGAGGUGAGUGGAAUUCCGAGUGUAGAGGUGAAAUUCGUAGAUAUUCGGAGGAACACCAGUGGCGAAGGCGGCUCACUGGCUCGAUACUGACGCUGAGGUGCGAAAGUGUGGGGAGCAAACAGGAUUAGAUACCCUGGUAGGAUAGCG
rnacentral:rRNA from 1 species